GAUUAGCAAAAUGGAGAAAUACUAAAACCCAAAGAAAGUUCUUCGAUAUUUCCAACCUCCUUCUCGUCAAAUGCCAAGUGUUUUUCCCGAAACCUCUACUUUCUCCUCGAGAAACAGUCUCCUGGCUCCACCACCCUACAGAUUCCCCAUCUUACAGAUUUAUUUCUGAAUUUUUAUCCAAUCAGGACCUUCCCUACUCCCUCCGGAGAUUUACUUUCCUCCCUUUGAUCAUUUCAACGGUUCAGAUUCACUCUCACUUCUCUCAUACCGCACCUCCCUCUCUCGUUUUCUAUAAAACGCAGCUCUUCACCCCGAAGUUUCAGUUUCAAGCCCCUAGAAGAAGAAGAAGAAGAAGCUGAAUAGAAACGCAGAGAAUCAGAAUAAUUUCCUCUUCAUUUUCUACGCUCUGAGGUCUGUGUUCUUCUCUUCCUUUCUUAAUUGUUUUUCUUAACUUUUUAACUGUUGAUCUGUGGCUGAGCUAACAAUCGAUCUAUGGUUGUGUUCAAGAUGGAGAACGAGAAGAAAAAUCCGGAAUUGAAGCAUUUAGGGUUCGUGAGGAUGGCUGCUAUCCAGAUGCUGGUGUGCGUCUCGAAUCUGUACGAUUACGCGAAGCAGAACUCAGGGCCAUUGAGAUCUACCGUUGGGACCGUUGAGAAGGCUGUAACUACGGUUGUGAGUCCAGUCUGCCAGAAAUUCAAGGACGUGCCUGAUGAUCUUCUUGUAUUUCUUGAUAAAAAGGUAUAUGAAGGUACACGGAAGUUUGAUAACCAUGCUCCACUUGUUGCUAAGCAGGCCGUGAGUCAAGCGCAGAGUUUGUUACAGAUAGCAUCACAGAAGGCUCAAGGACUUGUGCAUGAGGCUAGCGUUGGAGGACCACGUGCUGCUGUGCGUUAUGCAGCCAGAGAGUCUAAGCACUUUACCCUG
rnacentral:misc_RNA from 1 species